rnacentral:tRNA from 1 species
GCCCUCGUGGUGCAGAUGCUUAAACACUUGACUGCUAACCAAAAGGUUGGUGGUUUGAACCCACCCAGAGGCU